rnacentral:tRNA from 1 species
GCAUCAGUGGUUUAGUGGUAAAAUCCAUCGUUGCCAUCGAUGGCCCUGUGUUUAAUUCAUGGCUGAUGCA